GUGCCAGCCGCCGCGGUAAUACGGAGGGGGCUAGCGUUGUUCGGAAUUACUGGGCGUAAAGCGCGCGUAGGCGGUUUGCCAAGUCAGAGGUGAAAGCCCGGGGCUUAACCUCGGAAUUGCCUUUGAGACUGGCAGGCUUGAGUACGGGAGAGGUAAGUGGAAUUCCGAGUGUAGAGGUGAAAUUCGUAGAUAUUCGGAAGAACACCAGUGGCGAAGGCGGCUUACUGGACCGUUACUGACGCUGAGGCGCGAAAGCGUGGGGAGCAAACAGGAUUAGAUACCCUGGUAGUCCACGCCGUAAACGAUGAGGGCUAGUUGUCAGGCGGCAUGCCGUUUGGUGACGCAGUUAACGCAUUAAGCCCUCCGCCUGGGGAGUACGGUCGCAAGAUUAAAACUCAAAGGAAUUGACGGGG
rnacentral:rRNA from 1 species